rnacentral:rRNA from 1 species
ACACAUGCAAGUCGAACGAGCGAGAGAGAGCUUGCUUUCUCGAGCGAGUGGCGAACGGGUGAGUAACGCGUGAGGAACCUGCCUCAAAGAGGGGGACAACAGUUGGAGACGACUGCUAAUACCGCAUAAGCCCACGGGUCGGCAUCGACCAGAGGGAAAAGGAGCAAUCCGCUUUGAGAUGGCCUCGCGUCCGAUUAGCUGGUUGGUGAGGUAACGGCCCACCAAGGCGACGAUCGGUAGCCGGACUGAGAGGUUGAACGGCCACAUUGGGACUGAGACACGGCCCAGACUCCUACGGGAGGCAGCAGUGGGGAAUAUUGCACAAUGGGGGAAACCCUGAUGCAGCGACGCCGCGUGGAGGAAGAAGGUCUUCGGAUUGUAAACUCCUGUUGUUGGGGAAGAUAAUGACGGUACCCAACAAGGAAGUGACGGCUAACUACGUGCCAGCAGCCGCGGUAAAACGUAGGUCACAAGCGUUGUCCGGAAUUACUGGGUGUAAAGGGAGCGCAGGCGGGAAGACAAGUUGGAAGUGAAAUCCAUGGGCUCAACCCAUGAACUGCUUUCAAAACUGUUUUUCUUGAGUAGUGCAGAGGUAGGCGGAAUUCCCGGUGUAGCGGUGGAAUGCGUAGAUAUCGGGAGGAACACCAGUGGCGAAGGCGGCCUACUGGGCACCAACUGACGCUGAGGCUCGAAAGUGUGGGUAGCAAACAGGAUUAGAUACCCUGGUAGUCCACACCGUAAACGAUGAUUACUAGGUGUUGGAGGAUUGACCCCUUCAGUGCCGCAGUUAACACAAUAAGUAAUCCACCUGGGG